rnacentral:misc_RNA from 1 species
AUUUUUCUUUGUUAUUUGGCUCUCGGUCUCCCAAUCACAGAAAAAAAAAAAAAAGGGAAAGGAACAGCAAAGAACAAAGUAGAAAAUGGCUGGUAUCUUGCUUUCGGUAGCAUGCAUGAUUGCGGGCUACUUGAUCGAGUACUUAGUUGCUCCCAUUGGACCUAUGGUUGUUGAGUACUUGCUUGGUCCCAUUGCAAGUGCGAUUACUUGUAUCUACUACUACAAGAGCAACUGUCAGGGCCUGAGGAGAGAAAUUGAGAAGUUGAUGCUUGUAAGUGAGAGGGUGAAACAUAUGGUUGAUGAAGCUGAAAGAAAUGGGGAAG